UUGUCUUGGGGUGUUGGGCUGCACAUUAUAGUACUAGGCUAUAUUAGUAAAACUUAAUAGAAUGGGUCUGUCGAUUAUAUAAAUACUUUGUAACAGGCUAAUAGCUCGAUCUAUCCUGCCAUAUCUACAGCUCUAUUUGAGCAAAUGUUUGGUACUCUUGCAAGCCUGUAUCAUUAUAUUUGUCACGCAACGUUUAAACUGUGAAUAGCAUUUUUAGCCUAUGAAUGGGAUAACUUAUAUACUGUAUAUAUAUAUAGUAUAUAUAUAUACUUAUAUACUAUAACUGAUAUACUUUAGUACUGUCAAACAAGGCAAAGGACAUUUCCUUAAACCCCGCUCUCUCGUUUGAGUCAUAGUAUCGACGUCAUCGGUUUAAAUUGACUAUCUAGAAUGCUGAUUGGCCAGGUUGCCUGACGCCCCGGUGUGUUACGCAGCACUAACGCUCCUCAUUGGCUGGAAGAAAUGUAUAAGUAGACGUAGGCGCCUGUAGGAAAUAAACUACCCGGAUCUUUUGAGAAGGGUCCGCAGCCAGACACCCUUGGAACCUUUGGAAAAUCAGCAUCUCGACUACUUGUUGGAUUUGGAUAUACACGUGUGAAAAGAUAAUGCCAUUUUUUGUGGCUUCAUGGAAACACACUUGGGCUGCCUGAUCAGGAGGAUUGAUGCUUUGGAGGCUUCGCACCAAGAACUAUUUAGAAUGGUCCAAGAACUGUCCAGAACGCACUCGCCCCAGCCUCUGUCAGCCUCAGUCUGGCACAACAAGACAGGAGGAACAAAAUGCAGUACUUCCUUGAAACUCUUGGAGGGGCAAAUGUAGGUGCAGCCAUUCGAUGGAUUGGGUUGUGAGUGGCAACCAACAACGUCCUUGCGCAGUAUGGGGGAGAAGGGUGAAAAGGUCCUUCCAAGAGCUAGCACUAUGCAAGAUUAUAACCGUGGCAUGUGAAGAAAUUCUUUGGACAGACCGAAGCUGAGAUCGAGGAGUGCAUAGGACAAGCGCACAGGUUUGCUCCUCACAGACAGUAAAUCAAACUUCUGCUGUCUCUAUCUGUCUCAGUUGGUGAAUGUUCAAAAUAAUUAUAUGAACUGGAA